rnacentral:rRNA from 1 species
GAUGAACGCUGGCGGCGUGCCUAAUACAUGCAAGUAGAACGCUGAAGGAGGAGCUUGCUCUUCUGGAUGAGUUGCGAACGGGUGAGUAACGCGUAGGUAACCUGCCUGGUAGCGGGGGAUAACUAUUGGAAACGAUAGCUAAUACCGCAUGACAACAGUUAUUGCAUGAUAACUGUUUAAAAGGGGCAACUGCUCCACUACCAGAUGGACCUGCGUUGUAUUAGCUAGUUGGUGAGGUAACGGCUCACCAAGGCGACGAUACAUAGCCGACCUGAGAGGGUGAACGGCCACACUGGGACUGAGACACGGCCCAGACUCCUACGGGAGGCAGCAGUAGGGAAUCUUCGGCAAUGGACGGAAGUCUGACCGAGCAACGCCGCGUGAGUGAAGAAGGUUUUCGGAUCGUAAAGCUCUGUUGUAAGAGAAGAACGAGUGUGAGAGUGGAAAGUUCACACUGUGACGGUAUCUUACCAGAAAGGGACGGCUAACUACGUG